rnacentral:lncRNA from 1 species
CAACACUUGUGUUUGUUUCCGAUUUGGAGCAUUUUCAUGUCUCAUGGAAUAAGGUCGAUUUGAAAUGUUACUUUUAAUUCUAGCAAUUCUCUGUUCAUAAAUGAGAUCCCAAGAGUCUUGGCUCCUUCAUCCUGGUUUUAUAACCUGCGCCGCACUACCUCUGAUUGAACAGAGUCCUGAGGCUGAUUGGCAACAUCAUGGUUCUAAUCCAAAAGAAACCCCUAAUAAUUUUCCUUUUGAAAAGCAGAGGGGUAAGUACUAAGAUUUUCUGGCUAAAAAUAUAAAAUCAGUCAUUCUGUGGAAAGUAUAUUUACAAUCAGUUAUUAGAAAUAUAGAAAGAACUGAAAAAAAAAUACAGG